rnacentral:lncRNA from 1 species
CCUUCUUUGUUUCGGACUUUCUUUGUUCUCCGUCUCCAUCUCAAAGCAAAGAGAUGGUGGUUUUUCAACCUGAAGAAAGAUCUUUCUUUUAUCUCUGAUCUUCCAUCGUCCAUUCAUAGAUGGAAGAAUCAAUUUUUUUUUGCUUCUUCUUCAUCUUCUUGGGACUUUCCUUUACGAUAGAGUGAUCCGAGAACUGGCUCUAACGAGCAUAGUCGG